rnacentral:lncRNA from 1 species
AUGGAGGUGACUGUGUGUUUUUUUGCCAGUCUGAUGUGCCCCGAAGACUUUUGGUUUGGGAACUUUAGGAGGUCACAGGAUAGGAUAAAAUUCAUUUUACUGAAGUAUACUGGUUAUGAAAAUUGCUUGUUCCAGUGGACGAUUUCACUACUUCAUUUACAGCAAAGUCCUGCUUCCUGUGUCAGGUGCAGGAGCCACUGCCUAACACCCAGAAAACCAAAAGAUAUUUGCCAAUGAACAGUAACUUGGAUGCUCAAAGGGUGAGUUGCAUUUAGAAAUGAUAUAUGUUUUUAUUAACUAUUCAGUAAAUUUUAUAGUCAG